CUUGUUGUCUAUAGGCAAUGCAUACCUCAAUAACGCCCCUGGAUCCUUAAUUGGUGGCCCUGAGAUCAAUACAGAGACAUCUGGCAAUGCUGGGGUGCCAUGAGCAGGACCCAACCAUUGCGAUCCAGGUAGUCCACUAAUCAAACUAACUGACAAUGCUACUGCAGCUGCACAUUUCUUCAAUGACAAAAACCAAUCUUUCUCUUUGUCUUGGCAUUCCGAUUCAGAAGGAAGCGAGCGUUGUGAAGAACAUAGUGGAACAAAAUGGCGG
rnacentral:misc_RNA from 1 species